rnacentral:rRNA from 1 species
ACGCACGCUGGCGGCGUGCCUAAUACCUGCAAGUAGAACGCUGAAGGAGGAGCUUGCUCUUCUGGAUGAGUUGCGAACGGGUGAGUAACGCGUAGGUAACCUGCCUGGUAGCGGGGGAUAACUAUUGGAAACGAUAGCUAAUACCGCAUAAGAGUAGAUGUUGCAUGACAUUUACUUAAAAGGUGCAAUUGCAUCACUACCAGAUGGACCUGCGUUGUAUUAGCUAGUUGGUGGGGUAACGGCUUACCAAGGCGACGAUACAUAGCCGACCUGAGAGGGUGAUCGGCCACACUGGGACUGAGACACGGCCCAGACUCCUACGGGAGGCAGCAGUAGGGAAUCUUCGGCAAUGGACGGAAGUCUGACCGAGCAACGCCGCGUGAGUGAAGAAGGUUUUCGGAUCGUAAAGCUCUGUUGUAAGAGAAGAACGAGUGUGAGAGUGGAAAGUUCACACUGUGACGGUAUCUGACCAGAAAGGGACGGCUAACUACGUG